rnacentral:tRNA from 1 species
GGGGCAUAGCUCAGUUGGCUAGAGCGUUUGACUGGCAGUCAAAAGGUCAGGGGUUCGAUUCCCCUUGUCUCCA